AUUUAUGUAUAUUUAUGUAUAUAUUUAUAUAUAUUUAUGUAUAUAUUUAUAUAUAUUUAUGUAUAUAUUUAUAUAUAUUUAUGUAUAUUUAUGUAUAUAUUUAGGAGGGAGGGGGCCAUGCAGGCGGGGCUCCAGCGAGCCGUCAGCGUCCCGCUCUCAUUGGCCGAGAGGGUCAACGUCCUCUGGGCGCCACUCAAAGAACUGGUCGUCCACGGCAACAUCGCCUGCAAGUCUGACGCUCAGGUAGCAGCCAAGGCGUUGGAGACGGCCGUGUUCGGAGCGUAUUUUAACGUCAUCAUCAACCUGAAAGACAUCAAGGACCAGGACUUCAAGAUGGCCACUGAGCAGAGAGCAGCAUUGUUGCUGCAGGAAGCGAAGGACAGCGCCGUUGCCGUCCUGCUCGCUGCUGACAACAGGAAGUGAAUUCUUCUUCUUCAACAUUUAACUUCACUGUGAUUUAAAGGGUAAUUUCAGUUUUUAACCUGGACCAGUUUCCGUGUUUCCCCACCAGACUCCCUGUAAAUAAUCAGGACUUUUAGAUUUACAUGGAGUCCGGUGGAGAUUUGCUGCUCUAUACACGCUAAAAGUAGUGAUUAUUUACAUGGAGUCUGGUGGAGAUAUGCUGCUCUAUACACACUAAAAGUAGUGAUUAUUUACAUGGAGUCUGGUGGAGAUAUGCUGCUUUAUACACGCUAAAAGUAGUGAUUAUUUACAUGGAGUCUGGUGGAGAUAUGCUGCUCUAUACACGCUAAAAGUAGUGAUUAUUUACAUGGAGUCUGGUGGAGAUAUGCUGCUCUAUACACGCUAAAAGUAGUGAUUAUUUACAUGGAGUCUGGUGGAGAUAUGCUGCUCUAUACACGCUAAAAGUAGUGAUUAUUUACAUGGAGUCUGGUGUGUUUGGUGAUGGGGAUUUCGGGGAUUUCAGUCUUUCUCUGUAGGGA